CAAUUGGCUAGGUGUCUCUGGUUAGUUAGCAAGCCAACUCUACCUGUGAUGAGAAAUGUGGAAGCUAGUUACCUAGCUAGCUCGCUAUCUGUGACCUUAGAAAAUCAGUGUUUGGAAUGUAACUUGACUUAGCAGAGUGAAAAUCACCCUCCACUGUAUCUGCUGCUUUUUACUAAACCAUCUGCAGAUCCACCUACCUACUAGCCUACCAUGGCUGAACCCAAGUCUAUGGAGUCCCCAGGUUCUGGCUGUGGUGUUCCAUCACAGAAAAGCUCACAGCAGGGUCCAGAGAUGGUGUCAGUGAAGCUGGAGGACUGCAGUCAACCACUGGAAGUCAAUGUGAUUGUGAUAGGGGAAGAGAGAGAACUUAAAGUAGAAGAUCAGAAGGUAGAAGUUAAAGAAGAAGAAGAAGAAAAGGUGGUGGACGAAAAGAGAGCAGUCAAAGAGGAGGAGAUGGAUGUUAAAGAGGACCAUAAGGAGAUAGAGAUUAAACAGGAGGUGGAGGAGAAGAGAGCGGUCAAAGAGGAAGAGAUGGAGAUUGAAAAGGAACAUAAGGAUACAGAAGUCAAAGAAGAGCUGGAGGAGAACGCAGUCAUCAAGGAGAUGGAGGAGAGAGGUGUGAAAGAGGAUGAGGAGACCGAAGUCAAAAAGGAGAGAGGACUAGAAGAAGAGGAGAGAGAAAUCAAAGACGAAGAGGAGAACAGGGACGUGUCUGAUCCAGACCUAGAGGAAGAGGGGGCAGCAUUAGAUAGAAUCACUGACCCAGGAGAGCGCUCCAACCCAGGUUCAGACAGUGAGCCCAGUUCCACAGCAUCAGGAAAGCAUCACCAACACAGACGGAGGAACUCAAGACAGAAACAUCACCACUGCAUGGACUGCUUCACUAGUUUCUAUGAGCCAGAGGAGUUGAGAAGGCACACUUGUAGGCCCCACCCCUGCUCAGAUUGCAGAGGCAGUUCCGUGUGUCCAACUCACGUCAUACCACGCAAAAAGACUAUCAAAGAAAGAAGACUUACCCCUGUGGUCAAUGUGGGAAGAGUUUUCAGGCACCAAGCAAACUAAAGAAACACCAGAUAACUCACACAGGAGAGAAGCCUUUCCACUGCUCUGUAUGUGGGAAGAGUUUUCCUCUUUCACAGACCUUAAAUAGACACCAGCUGAUCCACACAGGAGAGAAGCCUAUCCACUGCUCCCAAUGUGGGAAGGGCUUUAAGCGACCUGAUUCCCUGAAAAAUCAUCUUAGAAUACACACGGGAGAAAAGCCUUUCCACUGCUCCCAAUGUGGGAAAAGUUUCAGUCAUUCAAACUACUUAAAGACACACCAGAGAACUCACACAGGAGAGAAGCCUUACCACUGCUCCCAGUGUGGGAAGCGUUUCAAUCAGUCUUCAGAUCUAAAGAUACACCAGCGAACUCACACAGGAGAGAAGCCUCACAAAUGUUUUCAGUGUGGAAAGAGUUUUAGUCAUUCAAGCUACUUAAAGACACACCAGCGAACUCACACAGGAGAGAAGCCUUACCACUGCCUUCAGUGUGGGAAGAGUUUCAAUCAGUCUUCAGAUCUAAAGACACACCAGCGAACUCAUACAGGAGAGAAGCCGUAUCACUGCUCCCAGUGUGAAAAGAGUUUCAGUCAGUUUUCAAGUCUGAAGACACACCAGCUAACUCACACAGAAAAUAGGUCAUACCACUGCUCCCAUUGUGGAAAGGUUUUCAGUCUGUUGCACCACCUAAAUAGACACCAGCAAACUCACAAAGGAGAAAAGGCUCACCAAUGCUCUCAAUGUAGGAAAAGAUUCAGUCAGUCAUCAAAUCUGAAGACGCACCAGUUAAAGUAUCACAGCCCUGACACCGGACAGAGUGCUCUUGCUUUAGAAGAAAGUCAACUUCAAACCACAGAAGUAAAACACAUGUAAACAUAUCUUAUGAUGUUAAAGGAGCAGAGCAGUUUUAAUAAGGUUGAAAUAACACUUAAAAAUAUAUAUAUUUGCCUGGAUUUUCAGCCUAUUCAGGUGGGAUAGAGUUUUUGUUCCAGCGCGUGACAUCACAAUCUGAUCUGACCAAUCAUAUUUUAUUUGCAUAUGUAUCCUCUUAUAUUGAAGAGGUAAGUGGGGUAGGCUCUAGUGCAGGGUUCCCCAACUGGCUGCCCGCGGGUGGUUUUGAUUGGACCCCAAGAUUUCUGGUAAAAAAAAUCUAAUAAUGUAUCAUUUUUUAUUGUAGGAGAUUAAAGACUUUAACACCAGCCAAUCAGCUCCAAGUGAUUUGAAUUUUGAAAAUCUGUUCCCACGCAUAAGAGAUAUAUAUAUAUAUAUAUAUAUAUAUAUAUAUAUAUAUAUAUAUAUAUAUAUAUAUAUGUGAUCCUAUACAAAUGUAAGCAAGGUUUGAAAUUAUGUUUUAAUAAAAUGUUAUCGGUUUGGGCUUCCUGUAUUCAAUUUGUUCUGGCCCCAUGACCAUCCUCACGAGAAAAAAAUAUCUGAAUCUCGAUGAUGAUCCAUCCCUGUUCUAGAGUCUAUAAGCGAUCCUAUCCACCAAUCAGGGCUGUUUAUGUAAAUAUAGUUCCAUUUGUGUCAACACUCCCCCACAAUCAGACUGAGCAUUCCAACAGCUAAAGGAGGCUCAGAGAAAGAAAUGGUAAACAAUAUAGUUGGAGUUAUUUUCAUGAAAUAAACACAGUGAUUUAUUAGACAUAGUGAUGAUUUACAAAUAAAAAGUCUACAUUAACAACAUUUAUAAUAUAGGUAAUAUAUUCCAUUUAGCAGCCGCUUUUAUCCAAAGCGACUUACAGCCAUGCGUAUGGGUGGUCCAGGGACUCCAACCCACUACCCUGGCGUUAUAAGCACAAUGCUCUACCAACUGAGCUGCAAAGGACCACCUUCCCUGUUAUUCUACAGUAGAACAGGGGUUCUUGUUUUAGCUAUCACCUCUCCUGUUAUUCUACAGUAGAGCAGGGAGUCUUGUUUUAGCUAUCACCUCUCCUGUUAUUCUACAGUAGAGCAGGGAGUCUUGUUUUAGCCAUCACCUCACCUGUUAUUCUACAGUAGAGCAGGGAGUCUUGUUUUAGCCAUCACCUCUCCUGUUAUUCUACAGUAGAGCAGGGAGUCUUGUUUUAGCCAUCACCUCACCUGUUAUUCUACAGUAGAGCAGGGAGUCUUGUACUAGCCAUCACCUCACCUGUUAUUCUACAGUAGAGCAGGGAGUCUUGUCUCUGGUCAUCUCGAUCUCUGCUCAGCAUUUACACAAUCGAUUGUUUUACCACAACCCUGGUAACAUGUUAUAAACAUUCAGUAUCCUGUAAUAAAGCCUGGAUGUCUGGUAAUAAAUGGUGGUUAUUAUGGUGGAAGUGAAGGAACAAUUUCCUUUAGAUUAUUGUAUAGGGUGACAUUUGAACCUGGGUAUCAUGUUAUAAACGUAGCUAUUUUAUGUACUAAAAAUAAUGGUGAUCAAAGUAGAGGAUUGAAAGUGUUGCGUUGGAGUUGUGUUUUAGUAUUGUAUAUUGAUUAUAAAGCUGGCAUGAUGAUAACGGUGUAUUGUAAACAUGGUUGUCGCUAUUUCAGGACUGAACAAAAAAACAACAGCUUCUGAUGUUAGCAGCACUGCAGCAAACAAAACAGCCACACACCUACAGUAACGAGUCUAACUCCCCCUGCGAGCUUGCUUUAUCAGUGACUGGCCUGGCCUUUUCAUACAGUUUAGCUCUUUCAUUCUCUAGUGUUCUGGUAGUGGCAGUAGUCCUUAGGGGAACAAUGUAUCAAGAAUAUAAUGAAUUAUUUAAUGCUUUAUACACAGUGUACAAAGCAUUAGGAGCAUCUGCUCUUUCUGUGACAAAGAGGACUAGGUGAAUCCAGGUGAAAGCUAUGAUCCCUUGUUGAUGUCACCUGUUAAAUUCACUUCGAUCAGUGUAGAUGAAGGGUAAGAGACAGGUUGAAGGAUUUUUAAGCCUUGAUACAAUUGAGACAUGGAUUGAUUGUGUGUGUGCCAUUCAGAGGGUGAAUGCCUUUCAACGGGGUAUGGUAGUAGGUGCCAGGAUUGCAGGGGUGUUCAUGCUCAACAGUUUCUUGUGAGUAUCAAGAAUGGCCAACCACCCAAAGGACAUCCAGCCAACUUGACACAACUGUGGGAAGCAUUACAUGGGCCAGAAUCAUCGUGGAACGCAUUCAAUAAAUCGAGGCUGUUCUGAGGGCAAAAUGGGGGUGCAACUCAAUAUUAGGUAGGUGUUCCUAAUGUUUGGAACACUCAGUGUACAUUUUAUUUACUGGAAAAAC
ensembl:lncRNA